GCCUGCAGGGAGGUGGGAGGGCGCGGGGCUGGGGCGGAGCAGCGGGUUCUGCCGCCCCGAAACUCGUCUGUCCGCACCUCUUCGCGCUCCCUGGUUGGGCUGAAGGAGGAACCAUCUCCAAGAGAGCCGAAAACUGGAAAGAAGAGGGCGGCUUCUCCGAGAUCAGCCCAAGUUUGCAGUUCCUUAUGGUUGUGACAUCUCUAAUAUAGCAUGCUCCUCUAAUUGGAAAUCUCCAUUGGAAAUGUUACAAAGAGACUUUGCAUUCAGAGACUACAUCCUGGAGAAAGAAUCUGGUAAGAGUAUGGGAUGUUCUUCUUUGACAUAUCACAACAGAUUGAAUCUAGAAGCAAAUAUGAGGAUCCAGCUGUCUUCUACUUGGCUAGACAUCAAAGAGAUUUGCAAAAAUGCAAAACAAUGCCACGCUUCUCAAUGAAAUUUUUUUUUUUUGUUUGGAAAGUAUAGUUAUUUUUUUCCAAAAAGGUUAUUAUUGUUAUUUUAAAAUGAGUUAAAAAUAAAUAUUUAAAGUUCUUAGUUUUAAUUUCUAUUACAUUUUGAUGACACCUAACAGCAAGUAUUGAUAACUAUAAGGCACAUAAGCAAAAAUUCACUGGAGUCCUCAAUAAUUUUUAAGAGUAUAAAUGUGCCAUGGGCCCAAAAUGUUUGAGAACUGAUGCAAAUCACUAUUUACUUUUGUUGCACAACACUCCCUCUUCCACCAUAAAUGACAGAUUUUCUGUUGAGUUUUUUUCCAUUCUAGGUAAAGAAAAUAGGCUCUUCCAUCACAUUAUUUUACUACUGCAUCUGUCUUUAACAAUCUUCAUUGUAAUCUUUUACCUCUGUUUUAUGUUAAUCCAAAGUCUUAAUUAAUCGAAUUAUGCUUUAAAAGGAAAAUACAGAUUAGAUUUCGAAGACUUAGUACAAAAAAGAAAAA